rnacentral:rRNA from 1 species
GAUGAACGCUGGCGGCGUGCCUAAUACAUGCAAGUCGAGCGAACAGAUGAGAAGCUUGCUUCUCUGAUGUUAGCGGCGGACGGGUGAGUAACACGUGGGUAACCUACCUAUAAGACUGGGAUAACUCCGGGAAACCGGGGCUAAUACCGGAUAAUAUUUUGAACCGCAUGGUUCAAAAGUGAAAGACGGUUUCGGCUGUCACUUAUAGAUGGACCCGCGCCGUAUUAGCUAGUUGGUAAGGUAACGGCUUACCAAGGCGACGAUACGUAGCCGACCUGAGAGGGUGAUCGGCCACACUGGAACUGAGACACGGUCCAGACUCCUACGGGAGGCAGCAGUAGGGAAUCGUCCGCAAUGGGCGAAAGCCUGACGGAGCAACGCCGCGUGAGUGAUGAAGGUCUUCGGAUCGUAAAGCUCUGUCUUCUGGGAAGAAUGGUCUUUAUGUGAAUAAUGUAGAGACAUGACGGUACCAGAGGAGGAAGCCACGGCUAACUACGUGCCAGCAGCCGCGGUAA